rnacentral:rRNA from 1 species
AUUGAACGCUGGCGGCAGGCCUAACACAUGCAAGUCGAGCGAGCGGCGGACGGGUGAGUAAUGUCUGGGAAACUGCCUGAUGGAGGGGGAUAACUACUGGAAACGGUAGCUAAUACCCCAUACCAUCAGAUGUGCCCCGAUGGGAUUAGCUAGUAGGUGGGGUAACGGCUCACCUAGGCGACGAUCCCUAGCUGGUCUGAGAGGAUGAUCAGUCACACUGGAACUGAGACACGGUCCAGACUCCUACGGGAGGCAGCAGUGGGGAAUAUUGGACAAUGGGCGAAAGCCUGAUCCAGCCAUGCCGCGUGUAUGAAGAAGGUCUUCGGAUUGUAAAGCACUUUAAGUUGGGAGGCGUUACCGACAGAAUAAGCACCGGCUAACUCCGUGCCAGCAGCCGCGGUAAUUC